rnacentral:rRNA from 1 species
UCCUGCCGGAAUCUGACGCUCUCCCCAAGGACACAAGCCAUGCAUGCCCGCGCACCCGGGAGGCGGCGGACGGCUCAGGACAACGGUUGCACCCCCCGCGGCGGUCCCUGCUAGCCGGACACCGCUGGCAACCCGGCGCCAAGACGUGCGCGCAAGGGCGGGCGCCCGCGGGCGAGCAGCGUGACGCAGCGACGGCCCGCCCGGGCUUCCGGGGCAUCACCCGGUCGGCGCGGUCGCGGCGCGCCGAGGGCCCGACGCCUGGCGGAGAAUC